rnacentral:lncRNA from 1 species
AUUUGCCCAACAAAAGAAAAGAGAAAAAAGAAAAGAGAAAAAAGAAAAGAGAAAAAAGUGAGUGCAGCACUUCUGUCAGAUCACAACAGUGACAAUGAGCAAGGGAAUGACGCUGCCAGUUUUGCCUUGUAAGCAUAGCAGGAGAAUAAUUCUGGGAGGAAAAAGCAUAGAAAAUGUAUUUGUUCCUGCCUUUUGCUGAAGGUUGCAUUUCAUCCACAGAGUGGUCACACCAAUCCUGAAAUCAGCCUGUGGUGCCACAAGAGGGGCAGAUCUCAGAGAGGAGAGUCAGAGACACAGCAUGUUCCAGCCUACAAGACACAGCUACUAAAGCACCAUGCUUAAAACCCUUAUUUUUACCAGGACAGAAGUGUUAUUUAUCACUGCCUCUCCUUAUCAACAAUGAAAGUUGCUGUUUCCAUCUCUCUUUCUCUCUCCUGAGAAUGCAGAAGGACCUUGGCCUCACCUUCUAGGCAGCAUCCAAGCAGGUCCUUGCUCCAUCCCACUCAGAGCAGAGCCCUUGCUCUGCAGCAUCCUGGUGACCCCUCUGC